rnacentral:rRNA from 1 species
GUGUCAGCCGCCGCGGUAAUACGUAGGGUGCAAGCGUUGUCCGGAAUUAUUGGGUGUAAAGAGCUCGUAGGCGGUUUGUCGCGUCUGCUGUGAAAUCCCGAGGCUCAACCUCGGGCUUGCAGUGGGUACGGGCAGACUAGAGUGCGGUAGGGGAGAUUGGAAUUCCUGGUGUAGCGGUGGAAUGCGCAGAUAUCAGGAGGAACACCGAUGGCGAAGGCAGAUCUCUGGGCCGUAACUGACGCUGAGGAGCGAAAGCAUGGGGAGCGAACAGGAUUAGAUACCCUGGUAGUCCAUGCCGUAAACGUUGGGCGCUAGAUGUAGGGGCCUUUCCACGGUUUCUGUGUCGUAGCUAACGCAUUAAGCGCCCCGCCUGGGGAGUACGGCCGCAAGGCUAAAACUUAAAGGAAUUGACGGGG